rnacentral:pre_miRNA from 1 species
UGCACUGCAAUACUCAGAUUGAUAUGAGUCACUUAUUGCAUGUUACUCCAUCCUCUCUGAGUAGAGUAAGGCACA